ensembl:lncRNA
AAAAUGUGUAAGUUUUCUCUUCAUAACGCCACCUCAAGCGUUUUAUUAGCCGUUUUCUGUUAUUACUUUUGCUGGAGAAGGAGGGGUGGGCAGCUGAAAGGAGUUGUAGCGAGACAUGUUGUUUUCGCCUGGCAUUCGAGAGGGCCUAGUGCACUGUUCGGUUAACUUCUUGUGUCUGAGGUUUUUCACUUUAACAUGAAUGAAGUUGAUGGGUUUUAGGCACUGUGGUAACUGAAUAUCACUAAGGUUUUUAUUGUGAAGGACUUUUAGAUUGGUUCAGCUGCUGCUCACUAACUCUCACGUUCCUCUGCUCGCGAUGCGAUUCACAUAUCGAUCAAUUUAUUCAAAAGAUCCAAAGACAAAGAACAGGUACAUUAUGGUAUAAUUUUAUAUUAUUAUUUAUAGUCUUAUUGUUAAUAGCUUCAGUCGCGUUGGUAUUUAAUUUUUCAUUUGCUCGUUUAGCUAUGUAUGACAGUUAACAAUGUUGGUGUAUUACAAUUAUUUACGCGUGUAGGCCACUCCAACUCUCGAUAUUUCAAAUAGAUUAGUGUGCUCUCUCAGAGCUGGGAGAUUUCAUCCUUAUUUUAACAUAUUACUCGAGACGGUGUUUCUCACAGCGUUCUCGGGUUCAUGCGUUCUCGGGUUCAUGCGUUCAUGCAUACAUGCAUACAUGUCUCCUACUCAGACUUUUCCCCUACGCGGGGUAUUUAAUUUUUCAUUUGCUUGUUUAGCUAUGUAUGACAGUUAACAAUUUUGGUGUAUUACAAUUAUUUAUGUGUGUUGGCCACUCCAACUCACACUCUAUUUUGAAUAGAUUAGUGUGCUCUCUGGGAGAUUUCAUCCUUAUUUUAACAUAUUACUCGAGACGGUGUUUCUCACAGCGUUCUACGCGUUCUACGGGUUUACGCGUUCUACGGGUUUACGCGUUCUACGGGUUUACGCGUUCUACGGGUUUACGGGUUUAUGCGUUCUUGCGUUCAUGCGCAAAUGCGUACACGUCUCCUACUCAGACUUUUUCCCCUACACGGGGCCUGACUUUCGCCGAUGUCACCUUCUCUUUCUUGCAAGGCAUUUUUCCAUCUAAAAGCGAUAGCCUAGGAGCAGCUGUUACUAUUAUCAUUUCAAGAAUCAACAACUCUCUGUCCUUACGCUUCCAUGUUCCUUUAUCUCAAGCUUCGGCAAUGCACGUCCCCGAAUCACCUGUUUAUUUGCGGCCUGCCAAUGCCUCAAGGGUGGUUCAGAGUCCAUCUCGCGACGGUGGUAGAAGGGUGCGGCCUACCAUCUCCCCUCUACACUCAGUGGCGCCACCAUGGGGUGGCGAGGGGUGGCUAAUGCCACCCCAAAAUCAUUAUUUGCCACCCCUAAGACAAUUUUUAUUAUGCAUAUUCAUUUAAAAUAUAUAAUGUAGUCUAGAUUAUAUUAUAAUGUAGUCCCCCCGCCAACAAUCGCUGCCCGGGAUGUUUAUAGAUUUGCUGUGGCCCCCAUUGGCCACCCCUGGAAUAAUCUUCUGGAGGCGCCACUGUCUACACUGGCCACUCCUCCCGGAUUGGAGCGGCAACCACAGCCGCUGAACAAGGGUUGCCGGUCGCGUCUAUCAAACGGCUGGGAAGGCGGUCUUCCACAGUUUACGAAUCCUACAUCCGGUUGAAUUCAUGGUUCUUCCUCCAAGCGCACACGAUGCUCUAACGUCGGUUAAGGCAGGUUUAUCACGUUUGCUACUACAGCUGUUUUUGGCGGCCUGUUUCCAUUCUAGUUUUAGUCUUGGUGUCAAGGUGUCAUUUUUGUUUUUAUUAGUUUAGUCACGUUCAUACUCUUUCCAGUGAUAUCGAAAUUCCGUUUAGGUAUUAUCAAAGAUACAAGUGCGUAGAUUUGUUAAAUAAGGUAAACGGUCGAAAAUUGAUGUCGUUAUGUCUCAACAGUUGAAGUUCCAGUUGGACAAAAUAACGUAUUACAGUUUAUCGCCUAGUUUAGGUCAACGGAAAUGAAGACAUUUUAGCAGUCUUAUUUUGUAAAACACUUUCAGUCUCGUGUGUAUUCGCCAACAACAUUGCACUACGUAUUUAAUUAUAUUAUUGUCAUAUGACCAGCAUUGUUUUCCUCACGCGAUAAAGGUUAUUGAUGACGACAUUUAGUCAUAAUUUUCGGUGUCAAAAGCAACACUAUUUGCAACUACUGGUGGUGGUGGUUAUCAGGUACUAAACUCAUAAAGCAAAAUUUGGCUAUAUAACUCAAGGUUAAGCUGCAGCAACCCCGGCAAGUUUGACCACGUCGGUGGAUCAUCUAGAAAACACUCUUGAGUUCGGUGUCAAGUUGGUGGCAUAUCAUGGAAAAAAUAAAGCUCAAGGUUAGCAGCGGCGACCCCGGUGAGUGCGUUGACCAAAGCGCAGCGGUAACAAUUCGGGCACUCGUGACUAUGGCCCCGUCCACACGAAGCCGAAACCGUUACGGUUUCGAUCUAUCCGGUUUCGGAGUAUCUCCGUAAAGACGGAGUCAAGCGAAACCGGGUAGAUCUGUAGAAACGCUGUAGUACACAUUCCAGGCCCAUAAGGGGCGCCGCUUCUGCUACAAAAAUAAAUAGUAAGAAGAGGCGAGCAUGCGCAUAAAGACUCCGCGGGCUUAACAGUCAUUGGCUAGAGGGUCGAGGGUGGGGCGAUGACGUCAUGGUUUACAGUUUCAGUCGGUUUCAGGCGUCCACACGAAUCCAAAACGAAACCGGGUAGAUUUGAAACCACCUCCGAGGGUGGUUUCAGAAGUUUGCGGUUUCGGUCAGCGGAUUCGCCGGCUUCGUGUGGACGGAAGGCCGAACCGUACAAGACCUUUGCGGUUUCGCCAUGAAAUCGGCUUCGUGUGGACGGGGCCUAAGACCACGUCGGUGGCACGUUAUCUAUUACUCAUGGUUGACUGCAGUAACCCCGGUGAGUGCGUUGACCACGUCAACGCACAACUGGGGCACAACUCAGGCACUCGUGAGUUUGUUGCACACGUCAGUGCGGUACAACACAGAACUCAACGUCCUACAUCCGGUCGAAUUCAAGGUUCUUUCUUCAAGCGCACACGAUGCUCUCUAACGUCGGUUAAGACAGGUUUUACACGUUUGCAACCAUAGCUGUUUUUGGCGGCCUGUUUCCUUUCUAGUGUUGGUCUAGUCUGUCAAGCUGUCAUUUUAGUUUUUAUUAGUUUUAGUUACAUUCAUACUCUUUCCAGUGUUAUCGUAAUUCCAUUUAGAUGUUAUCGAAGUUACAAGUGCGUAGUUUUGUUAAAUAAGGUAAACGGUUGAAAAUCGAUGUUAUGUCUGGAACAGUUGAAGUUCCAGUUGAACAAAAUAACGUUAUAAGUCUUUAUCGCCUAGUUUAGGUCAACGAAAAUGAAGAGACAUUUUAGCAGUCUUAUUUUCGUAAAACACUUUUUUGUCUUGUUUUAUUCACCAACUAUAUUGUACUAUGCAUUUAAUCACAGCUAUUGUCACACACCCAGCAUCCACAUUGCGUCCAGUCUCCUUUUUCUCACGCGAUAAAGGUUUGUUGAUGACGACUCUUAGUCAUAAUUUUCAUUGCCAAAAGCAACACUAUUUGCAACUACCGGCGGUGGUGGUUAUCAGGUACUAAAUUCAUAAAGCAAAAUUCGGUUUCAUAACUCAGGUUAACCUGCAGCAACCCCGGCGAGUGUGACCACGUCGGUGGAUGAUCUAGAAAACACUCUUGAGUUCGCUGUCACGAAAGUGGCGUAACAUAGGAAAAUAAAACUCAAGGUUGCAGUGGCAACCCCGGUGAGUGCGUGACCACGUCGGUGGCACAUCAAGGGCACUCGUGAGUAUGACCACGUCGGUGGCACGUUAUCUAGUACUCAUGGUUUGACUGCAGUAACCCCGGUGAGUGCGUUGCCCACGUCGGUGGGAACAACUCAAGCACUCGUGAGUUCGUUGCGCACGUCGGUGCGGUACAACACAGAACUCUACGUUCGCUGCAGCAAAUCCGGUGGGUGCGUUGCCCACGUCGGUGGGAACAACUCAAGCACUCGUGAGUUCGUUGCGCACGUCGGUGCGGUACAACACAGAACUCCAUGUUCGCUGCAGCAACCAUGGUAGUGCGUUGACCACGUCGGUGGGCACAACUCAGGCACAUGCAAAUUUAAUUACCACGUCGGUGGCAUAAUAUCAAAAGCUCAAGUGCAGGGCACUCGGAGUUCAUUGACCACGUCGGUGUUCAACACGGAAGUUCACAAUAUUUGCUGCAGCAACACCGGUGAGUGCGUGACCACGUCGGUGGCACAGCAAGGGCACUCGUGAUUUCGUUGACCACGUCGGUGUUCAACACGGAAGUACACAAUAUUUGCUGCAGCAACACCGGUGAGUGCGUGACCACGUCGGUGGCACAUCAAGGGCACUCGUGAGUUCGGGGACCACAUCGGGGUUCAACACGAAAGCACUCAGGUCACGCAGCGACCCCGGAGAGUGAAUCGACCACGGCAGUUGGUACAGCACGAAAGCACUCGUGGCUCCCUGCGUAACAGCUGCAGAGUGCUCUAGAUUUCAAUUGAUCUCGCUGAUGGUAUUUUUAAGCUCAAUUGCUUUUACGUGAUUCAUCGAUCCCGCUGACGGUUUUUAAGCUUAUCGUUUUACGGGAUUUACGAUUGACUCUUAAUAUGUCGUAUAUUGGGUAUGCCUUUUAUCUUCCAGAAGCAGUAUAGAUCCUUGUCCACUUCUUCUACGGCGGGUAUGUAUGCUCUCAUUACCCCCUUUCGCUAUUCUAUUUUUGGGGACGGCUCCACCCCUGCCAGUCCCGGCAGGACAUGCCGAGUUAUCACCUAUUUCCGGCGUAGGCCUACGUCCUCUCUUUUGGGGAAGGCUUCGCCCCUGCUAGUCCUGGCAGGAUACGCCGAGUCCGCACGUCACCCUGGAUCAGUGACGGGGCUCAUGCCAAAGAUUUACCAUGCAAAAUAUUCCCAUGUCGUUAUUUAAAUAAAUCCUGUUCAUACUUAUCUGUGAUCGAGUCUUUAUGGGAGAAAUGUUAAGCUUGCUGGUAGUUCUACCAUGAGGACUCAAAUCACGCGCGGCUGGCCGCCAAUCACCAAUCACCAGCUACCAAUCACCUGCCUACACCUGCUCUAUAAAGAGUAGUCUAACAUGUUUUUGCUGCUCAGGUCUUCGUUCGACGCACCUCCAUCCACCCCACCACCACCAGGUCGGCCUCAGUCUACUUGUCCAGGGGAAGGCUCCGCCCCUGCUAGUCCUGGCAGGAUACGCCGAGUCCGCACGUCACCCUGGAUCAGUGAUGGGGCUCAUGCCAAAGAUUUACCAUGCAAAAUAUUCCCAUGUCGUUAUUUAAAUAAACCCUGUUCAUACUUAUCGGUGAUCGAGUCUUUAUGGGAGAACUUAAAGAAGAGGUUAUGA